UUGGCUCUGCUUCAACCGAAGCCUGACGUUAUGCGUCAGAGAUUCAUGUAGGUUGGGUGGGGCCGG
rnacentral:sRNA from 12 species